CCCUCGAAACAGAGCAACAGCAAGUACGCGGCCAGCAGCUACCUGGCCCUGACGGCCAGCGAGUGGAAAUCUUACGAGAGUGUCAGCUGCCAGGUCACGCACGAGGGGAGAACCGUGCAGAAGACAGUGUCGCCCUCCGAGUGCCCCUAG